GGAUGAAGAACGUAGCGAAAUGCGAUAAGUAAUGUGAAUUGCAGAAUUCAGUGAAUCAUCGAAUCUUUGAACGCACAUUGCGCCCGCUAGUACUCUAGCGGGCAUGCCUGUUCGAGCGUCAUUUCAACCCUCAAGCCCCCGGGCUUGGCGUUGGGGACCGGCAGCCCGCCCUCUGGCGGCAGCCGCCCCCGAAAAACAGUGGCGGUCUCGCUGUAGCUUCCCCUGCGUAGUAGCACACCUCGCACCGGAUCGCGGCGCGGCCAUGCCGUAGAACACCCACUUCUGAAGGUUGACCUCGGAUCAGGUAGGAAUACCCGCUGAACUUAAGCAUAUCAAUAAGCGGAGGA
rnacentral:misc_RNA from 1 species